UUUUAACACCGUUUAUCCUGGUGGGAUGUUUUGCAGUUCAAAGUCCCCAGAUGGCCUGUUGGGCUUGAUAUGCAAUUAAAACAUUACUGGCUGUUCUUCAAAAAGGACUAGUUACUAUUAAUAUGGAGUUGGUCUCUGCACCCGAUCCAAGUACUCCAAGUUCCCGAAUUCCAAGUUCUCCAAACACAACAUUCCAUAUGUGCUGCGAAUGUAUUGAAUCAAGUAGAGUGUAAAUUUCCUUUAAAAGCAGAACAAAAUGCUUUCAGACCUUUUAUUGAAAAGGAUGUGUUUGUCAUACUUUCAACAGGGUUUGGUUUAAUUUACCAACUGGCCAAUUGCGUGAAGAUGCAUUUGAGUGGCGGCCUACUUUGCCUCAGGCAAACCUAACUUGAGGCACCCUGGCUAAAAAUGGCUUAAAAAAUGUAUGGUGGGACAAAGAAGUUUGGAUUAUAAAUCUAUUAGGGCUUGAUAUGGGAAAAAGCACAGGUGAAUUGUAUUUGUACAAUGAUUGUAAAUCCACAGUAAAUGGAAGCUUUAUCUGCAUUAUCUUCACAGUAAAUUACUGGCUGACUUCCACAAUAUACAUUGCAAAUUUAAAGUAAAUUACUGUCAAGUUGUACAUUACUUUCACAGUACAUACUGUGAAAGUACAGGGCCUUGUUGUCAUGAUGUAGAGCAAAAGGUUGUAAUUCCCCAGUAAUGUAAUUACUGGGGAAUUACAACCUUUUGACAACCUUUUCAUAUUACCACUGUAAUAUCAUGGUAAUUGCUUUGUCAUUAAAGCUGUAAAGUUACAGUACACAUUUGUGUUUUUAAAACAAUGCAUUGUGAUAUCACAGAUGUGAAAUUGCAGUAAAUUGCUUUGAGUAUAUUUCACAGAACACUGCUGUAAUCCUUACUGUGAAAGUCAUGCAAAACUUAUGCAGAGUUCUAUUUGGAUGUAAUUAUGGUUCAGAAAUGAAAUAAAAUGUAACUCCUUCUUUGUACAAUGUCAUAUUGACAGUCCUCCUGAAAGCACGAAAUGUCACAGUUUCAUGAUCCGCCAUGAGACCGGGUUGGCGUGAAACAUACCAACGAGUUGGUAGUUUUUCCUCAGGACUCUUAGUUUUUUCCCCCAACCAUAUUUAAGAUAUCAUCCUAGAUAUUCAAUUAUCAUCGUAGAUGAUAAUGUGUGGGCCCUUACAAUUGCCUAUACAAGGGCGCUGCACCUGUGCAUGACCAAAUAUUAUAUAUUAUCUUCAUUUGCAUGUAUAGCAGGAUUCUUCAGCUCACUAUUUAUGAUGCACACAAUCACAAUUGCAGGUGCAAUUUCCGCUGACACAGACGCAGACGAGGUGCAUUCAGUUUGACCAAUCAGAAUCAAGGUUUUCAAAUAACUGCCCAAUUACGCUGCUAUACACUGUCAACAUGAAAAGAAUCGAAGGUUGACUUAAAAUCGUGUUGUUCCCCACGUUUGCUUUAUUUUAUUUUACCGACUCAAAGUUGGCGAAGGUGGACGGCACAGACCUGAUACGAAGACAAGCACAGAAGGUCCGAUACGAAGGCCUGAGCAAUGAAGAGAGCUGUGUGGAGCUGAGUCUGCCGAGCCGAAGCAGACGUGGGCAGACGAGAAUACGGCCAGCAAAAUACUUUGUUUUAGUGCCCAACAGGCCAUCUGGGGACUUUGAACUGCAAAACAUCCCACCAGGAUAACGGUGUUAAAACUCCUCUCAACAUCCUGACAUUCUGGGUACCCUGGGUAUGGACAGCCAAAGAGAGGUUCAAUGGGCCCUGUGAUCGUGUCUGAAAUAAGGUAAGAAUCAAAGAAUGAAUGGCUUGUGUGUUUGGACUGGUGUUGUCCUAUUUAUCAUUACUGUAUUUUUAAUGAGUUGUGAUGAGUCUGUUUCUGAACUAAGAUAUAGCCGUUCCCCCUUGUUUUAUUGUCACUUGAUAUCGAUACCACUCUAGCCACUUGAUAUUGGAGCUUGAUUCAGCACUAUUUGUUGUGUGUAUGGCGUUUGCACCUGGGUGGAAGCCAAAUGUGUGCAAUGGUGAUUUAAUUUCUUGCAUACUUUUUGGGUUGUUGCUAUUGUGACUAUUGUCAUGUGAAAUGUUUAUGACAGUAUUAAUCGCAUUGCUGUGGUAAUAGAGUGUUUUCCUCAGUAAUCCUGUUACUGAUCCACAAUUGGAUUGUUAAAAGCUUAUGCAUGUGAAUUGGAAAGUUGUGGGGUGCACUGUAAAAUGGGGCUCCGCCAAAAGCCACUAUUAAAUUCGAUCCCUGGAUAAAAAUAUCGUUGUUGUU